ensembl:snoRNA SNORD68 small nucleolar RNA MBII-202
UGACAAAUUCUCCGGAAUCUCUGUACCUCCGUGAUGAACUCUUUGAACCCCUUUUCUGAUGACUGCCUGUUCUAGGU